UGAGCCUCCUUACUUAGGCUAGGAUCCUUUCUGCUCACUUGUAAAACUGUAAAAAGGGCAGGACUAAAUUGUUAUGUUCUCUAUCCCUUUUCCCAUAUCAUCCUAAGGAAAAUCUUCCUGGAAUCCAAAUACUUCUCUUUUUUAAAUGACAUUUGUAUGACCCAUUAGCCAAAGGUCUUGUCAAUUCCAUGAACUCAACUUAGAGACGCUCACAAAGGAAGAUUCAUUGUCUGUUUUAAGCUGAAAAGUACAUCUUGUCUGCUCAAUUGAGCCUUGACAUUACCCUUUUUAUUUCAGGUGAUGAUUUACUCUCUGAACCUGUCUGUUACAAUUGCCUUAAUUCUAUGCUGUAGAAGUGCUAUUGUAUUAUAAUAGAGGCUUAUAAACAAGUUAAUCAUUUGAGGUUGCAAAUUAAGAGAUUUAUUGUAUUACCUCUUUGCUGUGAUACCAGAACUGCUGCCAAUCUUUGCUUCUCCUAUUUUGGGGUAUUCCCUCUUCUUGAAUAUGUCAAUUUCUGUUGAGAAUUACUGCUAGUAUUUACCAUUUCAAGAGUCUGCUUUGCAAGCAAUGACACUGUGUGAGGGAAAUCUGGGUUCCUAGCCAUCCAUAUUGACUUCAAAUGUAUUGGCACAUGAACUGCUCAUCUCUCUUUCUUUCCUUGUGCUGAUAGCACAGAAGUAAAAACACCGAAUUGCAAGGGAAUUUGUACUUUUGUUUAACUCUGUGGAGUGUCCUGUGUUGAUGCUAAACAUGUAAGCCCACUUUAACCAAGAGGUCAGAACUUAGAGCACAUUUUAAGAUGAAGGUCUAAAAGCUCUCUGGAUGAAAAGAAUACAGGUUAUCUUCACUGGUGAAUAAAGAGUGACAAUUAAAGGGUGCUGCCUAACAGAUGGAGAGUUCUGAAGUGCUACAUCCCUGUGUGGCCUCUUCCCGAUUCCACCAAGCAGCCUGCUACUACCAGCCAGCAUAGGAAUGGGUUUGUCUGCCUGAGGGUACAAUAAUGUAUCAAGUGCAACUGAACUGUGGAAAGCAGCACCUUUUUAUUCAGAGCCUGUUGUAUGUGGGUGUCUGUCCUACAAGGAAAAGCUGAGAGACUUUUCAGCCUGGAGAAGAGUGGGAUCAGGAGGUAUUACAGCUGAGGACACAAAUUGGAUGGACUCAGGCUGGUACCCAGCGACAGGACCAGAGGCAGUGGGUGCAAACUAAGCCACAGGAGGUUCCCUCUGAAUAUCAGGAAACGUAUUUGUACUGUGAAUAUAACCUCAUACUGACACAGAUUAAGAAUGAAGACUACACAACCUUCCUGGAUAGAGAUAUUCAAAAGCCAUCUGGAUACAGCCCUGGGCAGCUGGCCCUAGGAGGUCCUGCUUGAGCAGGGACCAGAUGACCUCCAGAGGUCCCUUCCAACCACUCUGUGAUUCUACAGCUCUGUGAUUUAUCACCUACAAACUGCUGUGUUACAACUCGGGAGCUAAAUUGCUCUAAUUUUAAGAGUCGUUAACUCUGAGAGGCUGAGAUGGCUAACGGAGGAAUCUAGAUUCUGCUCUUAGUUGUGCCUAUUAAAGAUGAUACCAAAAUACCACCAAGAGAACCAAUUAGGGGCAACAGAACUCUAUUUGCAUUAGCCUGAUGGUAUCAGAGUGGAACCUGUAGGGCUACCUGAUGCUUGAGAGAGCAUGAUCUGUAAUUAAUGGGAGUGAUGCCCUUAGGAGAAAACCUUAGCAGAACAGCCCUCAUCCAUAACACACCAAAAAAGGAACCACAUAGCUUUCAGAGGCCCAUCUUGCUUUCUGAAUAUUUCUUACUUCUAAGCUAAGUACCAGUUACCCUGAGCCACUGGAG